GAUGAAGAACGCAGCGAAAUGCGAUAAGUAAUGUGAAUUGCAGAAUUCAGUGAAUCAUCGAAUCUUUGAACGCACAUUGCGCCCCUUGGUAUUCCGAGGGGCAUGCCUGUUCGAGCGUCAUUAUAACCCCUCAAGCUCAGCUUGGUGUUGGGGCCUGCUGCACUGGCAGCCCUUAAAAUCAGUGGCGGCGCCAUCUGGCUCUAAGCGUAGUAAUUCUUCUCGCUAUGGGGUCCUGGUGGAUGCUUGCCAUCAACCCCCAAUUUUUCUAUGGUUGACCUCGGAUCAGGUAGGGAUACCCGCUGAACUUAAGCAUAUCAAUAAGCGGAGGA
rnacentral:misc_RNA from 1 species